UUUUUUUUUGAAUUUUCUAACUAGAUAGAGAGUUACCGAUAAUAAGUGUAUGGUUUCUUCGGACUAAUGUGAGUAUUCGAUUGUUGGCAGUUCCUCCAUCCAUAUUUUGCUAGCCUCUUCGGUACCGUGCAUUGCCCUUUCUCAUCUUGAGAAUUGGUGGAAACUCCACCGGUGCAUCCAAAUCCAUGACAUGAUACACUCUGUCAUACAUAAGCCUCAUUAUAUCUUUAUGCAAAACAGCC
rnacentral:lncRNA from 1 species